UACGUAGGGUGCGAGCGUUGUCCGGAAUUAUUGGGCGUAAAGGGCUCGUAGGCGGUUUGUCGCGUCGGGAGUGAAAACACCGGGCUUAACUCGGUGCUUGCUUUCGAUACGGGCAGACUAGAGGCAUGCAGGGGAGAACGGAAUUCCUGGUGUAGCGGUGAAAUGCGCAGAUAUCAGGAGGAACACCGGUGGCGAAGGCAGCACUCUGGGCCGGUACUGACGCUGAGGAGCGAAAGCAUGGGGAGCGAACAGG
rnacentral:rRNA from 1 species